UACGUAGGCAGCGAGCGUUGUUCGGAGUUACUGGGCGUAAAGGGUGUGUAGGCGGUUUUCUAAGUUUGGUGUGAAAUCUCCCGGCUUAACCGGGAGGGUGCGCCGAAAACUGGGAGACUAGAGUGCGGGAUGGGAGAGUAGAAUUCCUGGUGUAGCGGUGAAAUGCGUAGAUAUCAGGAGGAAUACCGGUGGUGUAGACGGCUCUCUGGACCGCAACUGACGCUGAGACACGAAAAGCGUGGGUAGCAAACAGG
rnacentral:rRNA from 1 species